rnacentral:rRNA from 1 species
GACGAACGCUGGCGGCGUGCUUAACACAUGCAAGUCGAACGGAAAGGCCCUGCUUUUGUGGGGUGCUCGAGUGGCGAACGGGUGAGUAACACGUGAGUAACCUGCCCUUGACUUUGGGAUAACUUCAGGAAACUGGGGCUAAUACCGGAUAGGAGCUCCUGCUGCAUGGUGGGGGUUGGAAAGUUUCGGCGGGUGGGGAUGGACUCGCGGCUUAUCAGCUUGUUGGUGGGGUAGUGGCUUACCAAGGCUUUGACGGGUAGCCGGCCUGAGAGGGUGACCGGCCACAUUGGGACUGAGAUACGGCCCAGACUCCUACGGGAGGCAGCAGUGGGAAAUAUUGCACAAUGGGCGGAAGCCUGAUGCAGCAACGCCGCGUGCGGGAUGACGGCCUUCGGGUUGUAAACCGCUUUCGCCUGUGACGAAGCGUGAGUGACGGUAAUGGGUAAAGAAGCACCGGCUAACUACGUG